UCGGAGCGCAGCCUUGGGAAGUGAAUGAGCGCGGCCGCCUCGGGCAGGGGGAUUACUCGGAGUUAAAAGAACUAGGCUCUCCGGUGCGAACCUGUUGCGCUCUUGGCCUCUGUCUGGACGCGACCAGGGCUGCGCUGAGAGAGAGGGAGGCAAGUCCAACCCCUUGGCAGCGGGAGAUGAAUCUUGCUUGUCCGCCUAAUAGAAAUAUUUAUAUGCCGCUGCUGCCGCGGAGAGAUUUAUAGCCCUUGGGGGCCCUCAGAUAAUUUAAGGGGGGGCAACUGGAUGUACAUUUCCAAAAUAUAAGAUAAAAAACACACAAAAUAAAACCCACAUACAGCAACAGUGGCAAAUGGCUUUAGAUACCUAUUAGGUCCAUAAAUUACCAUAUAGCAUAUAUUCAACACAAAAACAACGGCCAUUUGUUGUUGAUAAAGGACAGCUGGACAUAUAAAGGGCCUCAUUACCUUCAGUAGCUUAGGUCCUAAUCAAGCCUAAAUCUGUCCCUGAGCCAGAUACUGUAGUAAAAUCGCAAGGAGUUAAAAAGCAGGUUAAAAGCAAAUUGAGGUGAAAAACAAUACACAAACAAAAGCGAAAGUUUCUCCCGGGAGUUUUAGUGGCCCCAUCCUGUACUGUAACGUUUAGCAGUUGCUUUGUAGAAAAUGGAAAGUCUUAAAUUUUAUAUUGCUUCACAGAACAUGAAGAGGAGCCCCAUAUGCAGAUGGACUGAAGGAGGGCUAUACAUUGCAAGUGGACACACACAAAUGUGAAUUGUACUGACCUCAAAAUCUUUAAGCUACUAUAUGUGUAUUCACAUUUCGGUUGUUUUUUUAGCUGGGGAAGGGAUGAUACUGACACAAGUUCCAGUGAGGAUAGCUGUUGCUUAGAGCCUGGUACAGUACUGAUAAUGCCAAGGUUACAGGUUUGAUCCCUAUAAGGGGCCACCUGCAUAUUCCUGCAUUGCAGGCGUUUGGACUAGAUGACCCCCACGGUACCUUCCAACUUUAGAAUUCUAUUAUUUUGUCCCUCGGUUCCUCAGAGUCUUAAAAAUACCGUGAGGGAAACUGUCUCCCUGCAUGGUGAGUAAAGGCUGCUGAGAGUCAGAGAAGGGCUGGAGAGGAGGUGCCAACAACAUAUUUAGGGGAAAUAUAUAAAAUAUUAAUAUUUUUAAAGCAAGAAAUUGGGAAUAUAAAGAAAUGGCAUAAUAGUAGGAGGGAAAUGAAAAAGGAGG